rnacentral:rRNA from 1 species
UACGUAGGGGGCAAGCGUUGUCCGGAUUUAUUGGGCGUAAAGAGCGUGUAGGCGGUCAGGUAGGUCCGUUGUGAAAACUCGAGGCUCAACCUCGAGACGCCGAUGGAAACCAUCUGACUAGAGUCCGGAAGAGGAGAGUGGAAUUCCUGGUGUAGCGGUGAAAUGCGCAGAUAUCAGGAAGAACACCAAUGGCGAAAGCAGCUUUCUGGGACGGUAACUGACGCUGAGGUGCGAAGCGUGGGGAGCAAACAGG